rnacentral:misc_RNA from 1 species
GAAAAUAAGAUUAAAUAUAAAUAAUAUAAAUAUAUCUUUUUUAUAAAAUAAUUAGAUUCAUUUAUUUCCUAUCAAUUUAUUCAUUUUUCUUGAUUCUAUUUUUAAUAUUUAUGUAAGUUAAGAACAUCAAAAUUGUUGACUUUCAUUUUUUUUAUUGUAGUUGAAUAAAUAAGAUAUCAUUUGAUUAAAGUAAAUAAUAUCCAAUAAAAUUAUAUAAUUUUUGAAGGUUGCAUCUAAUUAUACUAGUGUGAGAGUGUGAGUAUUCUUUACAACGAAAACAACAUAUAAUAAUAUAAUAUAUAGUCGCUCUAAUAAUCUUACCAUAAGCCCAAACUCUGACAUAAUAAUCUCUCUCUCUUCUUAUCUAUAUCUAUGCAUUUUUUUUUUAAGUUAAAUAUGUUGAUAGUUGAUAAAAUGUCAUUUAAUCAGUAUAAAUUUUCUGUAAUUUGUUAGCAGGACAUGGAAUUGCUUGAAUGUACUAGAUAGUCAAGAAAACAAAACAUAAAAAAAAAAUAAGGGUAAUUUUGAAUUUUUAGAAAUUAAAAAAAGGUAAUAUAAAAAUAUAAAAUAUAAAAAUUUCAGCCCUUCAAUCCACGAAAUUGGUGGGUUGAAAAAUGCAAGGAUUUGGGAAAUAACAACAAAAAAAAUCUCUCAUACAUACUCUCAUCCCAAUCAACCUAAAAAUCUCCUAAAACAUUACUUUAUUUUACCCUCAAAACCCCUCCAUCCAAACAAUGCCUCAGGCUCCACAAGAACAAGGUCAUUCUAUGUUAGCAAGUCCUUGGUGAAGCGAGCCACAAACAUAAGCUGUAAGAAUUUCCACUCGGCACUUGCAAAUUCACGCAUGGAGGCAACUUUCACUUGAUGAUUCAGGAAGAUUUAGGCAUUGAAUCUACUAGCUGCAAAUGCCAAACACAAAGUU